ACGCACACCUCACUUGUAUUCGAUGGUAUGACUCUAUAUAGCGAAAUAAACUUCUAGGUACAAAUGUACAAUACUACUACGGUCUACGUCGUCUACGAUAUUAUGUUCCCCCUCCUAUAGCGCUUUGCCAAUAUCACAUUAAUCGGCUUGCUUAAGCAGUUUCGAUUCGCGUUACCUGGCGUUAAGUGUAACUAUGUCCGAUGGUGUUGAGUCGUGUGGCCCGCAUGGAACGUGUGCCCUACCAUAACACUGUGUAAGCAGCCAACCAACAUGUUAUACGCAUCCUAAAAAUAAUGCUACCUAAUUUUAUUAAAUUAUUAAUUUUUUUACUGGAUUUUAAUCAAAAAAUCUUUUUCUUUUUCCAAAUGUAAGCAGUACUUACAGUAAAGUGCCUACAUGUACACUUCGCCCUUGAUCUAUAAUAAAUAAUGUAUUAAUUAAUAAUUUGUCAAUAUACAUUAUUGUAUAAUUAUUUACAUAUUUAGUAAGUAGUUGUAGUGUUUAGGUAAAUAUUUAUUAUUAAAUUAAUAAAAACCUAAUCAAAUGCGCAGGUAUUGGUGGGAAAUUUUUAAUACCGCUAACCGUCAUUUAAAUUUUUAAGAAUGUGAGUGCAGGUUUAUUAGUUCUAAUCUUUAUCAAUAGAACCAGGGCCGGCCGUAGGUCUUUUGCCGCUCUAGGCAAAUCUAAUUUAGGCUGCCCUAUAUGCAAUAGUUAAUUUUUUUGAGCGGAGGGGGUUGAAUAAAAUAUGGACAUUUAUUUUUAACUAUAAACCCUUGUUUUGGCUGACCUCAGUUUUCUUUACAAAAUAUAAAAUAAUAAUAAUAAAAUUAAUAUAAAUGUUGGGUAUGAAAUAAAACAAGUAAUAUUUUUGACCAUCGUCACUCAUUCAGUAUCAUUUUCAUAGAUCAACAAUAUGUAUUUAAUUAAACAUUAAAAAAUAUGUAACUACACAAUUAAAAAUAUAUUAAAUGAAAUUAAUUUUGCGAGCGUUUUCUUGGGCAAAAUCAGUCGGUAAAUUUUUAAACUCCAGGUUUUCCAUUACUUCUUUUCAAUAGGAAUUGUAGCAAGAUCACUUAACCUUUCUUGAUUCAUAGAAGACCUCAAAUAGUUUUUAAUUAUUUUUAAUUUGGAAAAGCUCCGUUCACCAGAUGCAACCGACACAAGCAUAGUUAAAAUAAUGUGAAGUGCUACAGCUACAUUUGGUUACGUUCUCGGUAAACGAAGUAUCAAUAGUAUAUUAUUAUUAGUUAUUACACAUUUAUUUUUGUAUAUUUUGAACAAUGAACAUACAAUUCAGCAUACUACAUUAUAUUAUAAUAAUUAAAUCACUUUGGUUCAUUCGAAAUUUGCCGCCCCCACACUAGUGCCGCCCUAGGCGGCUGCCUAUUUUGCUACCACAUUAAGCCGGCCCUGAAUAAAACCAACAAAGCUAAAUGAAAUAAAUAACCUAACCAUACAUUAGUUAUGUUACGCACUUGUGGACACCAACAGCAACAACACAAAUACGUUUAGGUGGUAAACAUGAGCAUAUGGAGCUAUAAUAUUUUUGUUUAGCAAAGAACCAAAUUAAUUGUCAUAAAUUACAUAAAUAAUCAUAGUAACCAACAAUCUGUAAAUAAAUGUUGAUAUAAUGAUCAGCGAUGCAGGCACGUAUUAUGAAAAUGUUAUCAAGUAUAUGAAUUGGUAAAAUAAAGUAUAAACAUAUGGAGUAAAUUUCAAAAUGGGCCAGGCUAGUGCAACGAACGUAUUACGUGUACAUUUCAAGUAUUUAUAGUAGUUAUUCGGUUUUGAAUUA